GAAAGGAAAAUGAAGAAGUUCGACAGACAACUAUUUAAUGCGAGAUGCAGACGAGGUAACAAAAUCUCUUUUUCAUUUAACAAGAGUAUACGUUACAGGACCCGGUGGGUCAUGAAAAAAAAGAAAAAGAAGAUACACGUCAUCGCAAGCCUCGCAAACACGGUUCAGGAAGGAUGAACCGGAGGCCGCUCCGAGCUGCAAACUCCUCUUCCCGUCUCUGUCCUUCUCAGUCACGUUCUCUAGUGCGUGUAACAGCUCUCGCCCCAUCUUGCCUCAUUCUGUCUCCAAAGUCCCAACCCUAGCGGGAAAAGGAUGGGAUAGAUCCCCGGAGGCGGUAAGGGCAACGGCGGCAGUAGCGAAGACCUAUUUCAAGAAGAACCAGAGUCACCUUGGAAGCGGUAGCGAUGCCAGAGAUAUGCCUCGCAUCCGAAUGCUCCAUGACAGCUGCCACCCAAAAUGCUCCGGCAAGGUC
rnacentral:lncRNA from 1 species